rnacentral:lncRNA from 1 species
CCCCCGCCCCCGCCCCCGCCAGCUCAGGGGGACCAGGCGAGCCUGGGCCUGGGCCGGGCCCCGCGGCAGCGGCGGGAACGAGGCCGGAGGCUGCGCAUCCGGGCCCGCGCCGCGAUCUGCGUGGUGUGUGACCCUGGGCGAGUCAUUCGUCUUCCCGGGCUUCGGUUCUGUCCCGUGUCAGGUGGGCGGGUUGGGAGGUCGACCUCGGCCGGCUCCGCCACCCGGUAGGUUCCGAGUGUCGCCGGGAAUCCAGCGCGAGGCUCGGGGGCAGGACCGCGGGAGCGGGUUCGGGGCGGGCCGUCCCCGGCUCAGGCUCCGCGCCCUGCGCCGCGCUCCCACGGCCACCCGGGUGCCCCCUCCUGCAGCCCCUCCGCUCGCCCUUCCUCCUCCGCCGUCUGCUUCCUCUUCCUCAGCGCGGGCAGGGCCUCCGCGCCCGCGUUCCCCUCCUCGCCCGCAGGCGGCCCGCAUCCCGCGUCCCGCGUCCCCUCCUCCCCCCCCGGAGGCGGCAGCCCUCGCGCGCCCACCGCCCGGCCCGGCCCGGCCCGCCCGGCCCGGCCCGCUCCCCCUCCCCCUCCCCCGCGGCCACUCGCGCUCCCAUACCUUACAUGGGCAAAUGCGUGCAGGCAAAGUCAGGAAUUCAGGCCCCUGACGUCAGCCUCCAGCUCUCAGGGCACCGCACGGGAGCCCGGGGGAGGGGGUGGGGACGGCGGGAGGGAGGAGGGGGAGAGGCACCAACCAGCAGCCGCUCCAGCCCUGCCGAAGUUUCACUUUUUGUCUGUGGGUCCGCUCCCGGGCCCCGCGCGAGCCUUCCCGGGAUAAGCAGCGCCGGCGGGAAGGGGCGAGCCGCGCGCUGCAAGGUAAGGGCGGGCUGCGCGGCCGGGGCGCGGGGCGCGGGGCGCGGGGCGCGGGGCCGGGCGGCCGGGCGGGCGCGGACAAUGGGAGGGGGAGUGCCCGGCGCCUCCUCCUCCGCCCGUGCCUCCGCCUCCAGCCGCCGCCGCCGCCGCCGCCGCCGCCGUCCCGGCCGCCUCCUCCCCGAGGUAUUGUUGCAAAUCC